GACGAACGCUGGCGGCGUGGAUUAGGCAUGCAAGUCGAACGGUAUCAUCCUUUCGGGGGUGAGAGAGUGGCGAACUGGUGAGUAACACGUAGGUUAUCUACCCUCAAGACGGGGACAACCCAGGGAAACUUGGGCUAAUACCGGAUGUGAGCAACUUUUAGUUGUUUGAAAGGUGGCGUAAGCUGUCGCUUGGGGAUGAGCCUGCGUCCUAUUAGUUAGUUGGUGAGGUAACGGCUCACCUAGGCAAUGAUAGGUAGGCGGCCUUAACGGGUGGUCGCCCACACUGGGAUUGAGAUACGGCCCAGACUCCUACGGGAGGCAGGCAGUCGAGAAUAGUCUACAAUGGUCGGAAGACUGAUAGUGCGACGCCGCGUGAACGAUGAAUCCCUUCGGGGUGUAAAGUUCUUUUAUAUGUGAGCAGUGCUUCUUAUAUUAACAGUAUGGGGAGAGAGAUAUUAGCAUAUGAAUAAGCAACGGCUAACUCCGUGCCAGCAGCCGCGUAAACG
rnacentral:rRNA from 1 species